GAAAUGCGAUAAGUAGUGUGAAUUGCAGAAUUCAGUGAAUCAUCGAAUCUUUGAACGCACAUUGCGCCCCUUGGUAUUCCAUGGGGCAUGCCUGUUCGAGCGUCAUUUGUACCCUCAAGCUCUGCUUGGUGUUGGGUGUUUGUCCCCGUCUCCGCGCGUGGACUCGCCCCAAAGUGAUUGGCAGCCGGCGUACUGGUCCCGGAGCGCAGCACAUGUCGCGCAAACGAGUGCCUUGGUACGGCGGCGUCCAUAAGCCCCUCUCUCACGCUCUUGUCCUCGGAUCAGGUAGGGAUACCCGCUGAACUCAAGC
rnacentral:misc_RNA from 1 species